UUUCCUGGAUUCCUGGUUCUGGGAUUCACCAGUACUCUCUCUCCCCUCUUUUCUCUCACUUUAUUAUUUUUGGAUUAAUGUAAACGAAGACUGCUUUGGGCUUACUGAAAUGGGUGAAAGGCGUGCUAGGGCCGGAAGCCUCAAAGUCGCCUUUGAUGGAGACAAACGAGUCGGCAGCAUUGCCCUCACCCUGCCUUUGGUGUGAGACGAGGAGGAGGCGGCGCAGAGAAAGACAGAGGAGGAGGAGGAGGAGCCGACGAGCUGCCGCAUCGCCUCCGCACCCAGACAGCAGGAGGCGGGGAGGGGGACUCGUGGGCACGCGUCUGGAGCGGGCCGUCACUGCUCCCAUCCCAUCGGCCGGAAUCUAGACAUGGAGUCACCCGUGCCUGGGCCCUGGCCCCUUUAGUAAGGCUGGAGUCGGGAAUGGUGAGUCUUUGGAGAGGACCGCCGUGCCCAGGUACCGUUAGGACUGUCACCUGGGAACAGAAGGGAUAGUGGCUGGUUUUAGGGUGGGGACACAUCACCUGAGACACGCAGAUGACUCCGUGCACUCGGUCAGCGGUCAGCGUGCAGCCGAGGCUGUCUCCCCACCCCAUAUUCUGUGCCCGCAGCUGUCAUCUCCCAUUGCCCCAGUUUGGAGACCAGGGUCAAGUCUGAGUUUGGGAGCAGGGAAGGAGAGAGGGGAUGGAGGGAGCCAGUGGUGGCCGCGUUCUGGGCCUAUAGCCAUGCCGGGGAGCUGGGUGGCUCGGCGACUGCAUGGAUCACCCUUUGCGGUUUCUCAGCUACUCAGCCAGGGAGCUGAGACGUUGCCCACCAGCUGGCACUGGCCCUGCUUGAGUUCUGCUCCCAAGGACAGUGACCUCUGGCAGUUCUGCCCUGCCCGUUGCGAGUGGGCCAAGCGCUCUCCCGUAGCAGAGAAAGCUCCCAUAAAAGGCUGUGGGUCCUGGAGGAAGCCGUCACUGCGUCUGGGAUGGUGCCUGCCAACAGGCACGGGCUAGACAUGAACGGCGACGUUCCAGCCCUGUCCCCAGCUGACAGAACCUCCCCAGGUCUCCAUGGAGCCACUCCCUGCCUUCCCGCUGUCCGCCGCUGCUGACUCCAUGGCUCUGUGGCCUGGACUACUCCAGGGAAGCCCUCUGCUGUCAGGACUCUGAGGGGCUUGUUAUAAUUUAGGGGCGGCGGCCGCUCUGAGGUCUCGGGCACUCAUCCUCCAGGCUCUGUCCUUCAGGGAGGCGGGGUGUGUGUGCGUUUGCUGGGGCACAGGGACAAAGCACCACGGGCGGGGGCUGCAGCAGCAGCACUGUCCUCCUCCUCGAUCUGGAGGCCCCAGUCUGAGACCAAGGGGCGGGCAGGACCUGCUGCAGGCCUUCCCCAGCUCCGGGUCCCCGGCUGCCCUGGCUCCUUGACUUGUAGAUGCAGUCCCACCAUCUCCGCUGUCAUCUUCACGUGGCGUCUCCCUGUGGGCCCCUCUGUGUCCACAGCCCCCCUUUGAUCGGGACACAGUCAGAUUGGAGGUCCACCCUCGCCAGCAUGACCUCAUCUUGACUAAUUAUAUCUUUAAGGAGCCCAUUUCCAAAUAAGGGCACAUUCCGAGGUACUGGGAGUUGAGACUCCAACGUGGGAAGUUGGGGAGGACACGGUUCAACCGUAAAGGGUGGGAGAAGGAGCGAGAGGGGCUACCGUGUCACGUGCGAGAUGAUUUGGCUCAGGUCCGGGUGGCCCGCCCAGUGGAGGUACGUGCCAGGGUCGCCUGCCCAGCAGGGCACGGUGUUCCACCUGAGACCUGGAGGUUCGAAUGAAUGGGCUUCCUUCUGUGCAUCGUGCGGCUUCACCACUGCCCUUGGCUUGGAACGCAAGGGCCGGGCAGACCUUUCCAGCGCCUUGGACUUCAUCCAGUUCUGCCAGGGCAGCCCCGGGGGUCCUCCCUGAACCAAGGGCAGGGAGGUGGGGUGCGGAGCUCCCGCUGGCCAGCGGGUGGGAGUGGCAGUUCUGUGCCACUUUCCACCGUCGGAGUCCGGGGGUAGGUGGAGCGGGCGGAGCGUGAAUGCCUUGCGGGCCCCACACAAACUCAGAAUUGGAUUGGAACGCAGUCCAGGAUUUCGGCUUUGGAGUCCCCAGUGCUAGUCACUAGCCAUCCUUCUCCCCCUGGAGAAUAAUCCAUUUAAAACUUCUGAGCUGUCUAGACUUGUUAUCUGGCCCCUAAUUCCUGAGAGCCCAGAGCGGGCAGCAGCGGGACGGCCGAGAUAGCAAGAGGGUGAAGUCAUUGGCGUAAAUCCUGAGGCAGGAAGUCGGUUCCAGGGACGAUGGAUGAGCGUGGGCUGGUGCCCGCACGGGGGGCAAGAUAACGCGUCUAGACUCUGCCGGCCAUUUCCUCCUCUUCCUCUAGGUGCCCUAUCGGCCGCCCCGCUGCCUUCCUGCGCGCUCGUUGCGCGCCUCGCGGGAGAAGCCCUCGCAGGAAGACCUCAUUUCAUUUUCAGUGCAGGGGGCUCCUGGCGACUCUUGGCCUCAGCCCGGCGUGCGUGCCUUCUCUAAGCCAGGGCGACGGCGGGGGCCGGAGGCCUUUCUGGGAAGGCCGGGCUGGCCUCUGUCACUCUGUCGUUUCUGAGAGUUCAGUGGGUUAAACAGGGAGAAAAUGACGUUUUUUCUCGCCAGUAUCCAGAGGUCAAUGGAAGGUCACUGGUGGGACUGCGAGGACACAAGCUGAUGCCAAACAGACCCAGAGAUUUCCCCAAGUCCUGGGGAAAAAUGAGCCUGGAGCAAGUCUUAUCUAAAAGCCCCUGGGAGCUGCACAACGGCUGCAGAGCCUCGUAUUUCCGGAAGGAGUGGCUAAUUUCAUCGGCCCCUGUGCAUGCCGGGCCGCGGCGCAAGCGGGGGCUCGGGGAGGAAGGAGGCCUGCGAGCACCUGCGGAGAAUGAGGACGGCCCCUGAUGGCCACCCCGUCACCGUCUGCGUCUGCGAGCCCAGCUAGUGCUUUGCGUUUGAACAACUGCACCGGGAUCCGUGGGGACAUCUGUGCAGGAGAGACCAGCCCCACACUGGGGGAGCAGCCACCACCCCACAUCCAGGACAGCAAUAAAAGCAAAAACGUCUUGAGAGCU